GCCCGCAUAGCUCAGUCGGUAGAGCAUCAGACUUUUAAUCUGAGGGUCGCGGGUUCGAGUCCCUCUGUGGGCG
rnacentral:tRNA from 1 species